rnacentral:rRNA from 1 species
GACGAACGCUGGCGGCGUGCCUAAUCCAUGCAAGUCGAGCGGACAGAAGGGAGCUUGCUCCCGGAAGUUAGCGGCGGACGGGUGCGUAACACGUGGGUAACCUACCCUGUAGAGCGGGAUAACAUCGAGAAAUCGGUGCUAAUACCGGAUAAUCACUUGAAGUGCAUGCUUAGAAUGUAAAAGAUGGCUCCGGCUAUCACUACGGGAUGGGCCCGCGGCGCAUUAGCUAGUUGGUAAGGUAAUGGCUUAACAAGGCAACGAGGCGUAGCCGACCUGAGAGGGUGAUCGGCCACACUGAGACUGAGACACGGCCAGACUCCUACGGGAGGCAGCAGUAGGGAAUCUUCCGCAAUGGACGAAAGUCUGACGGAGCAACACCGCGUGAGUGAUGAAGGUUUUCGGAUCGUAGAGCUCUGUUGUUAGGGAAGAACAAGUGCCGUUUGAAUAAGGCGGCACCUUGACGGUACCUAACCAGAAAGCCACGGCUAACUACGUGCCAGCCGCCGCCGUAAAAC